rnacentral:lncRNA from 1 species
GAGAUACUGUUGGGGAUGCCCAUGGCCGUGAGCCCCUCGCCCUUCGUACCGUCCACGUCUGACGUGUUGGGGUACAGCAGCAUGUACGGCAUCUCCACAGGCCCCUUCCGGUUCUUGAACACCGGAUUGUCGUUCAUCGUCUUGAUCCUGUUCUCGAUCUCCACCAGCCGGCUGCCGAACCUCUUGAACGCGUCCAGCGCCUUGGCGUCCGAUGUCCAGCGCUCCGGCUCGUCGCGCUGGCCGAGGUAAACCUCGUCGGAGGAGUGCUUGGAGAGGAUCUCGAUGAGCGAGAUGCCCAGGAUGGUCUGGAACUGGCUGGUGAUGGUGCGGAUGUACACCUUGUCGGCCUCCUCCUGCCCAGCUUCCAGCUGCGCGUACUCCUUGGUGCCUGGCU